CCAUCUUGAGUGAGGGUAGAGCCAGAUGCUGGGUCCUUCCCGGCUUUGGCUGAGCCUCACUUCACCCCUUAUCCGCGAACGGAUCCUUUCUGUGUUCCCUCGGAGUUGUUUAUGUCACAAUGAUGAAAAGCUAACAGAUGGUGAAGCAGCCUACUGGGCUCCCUACAAAGAAACCCUGACAUCAGGAAGCUAGGAAGCACAGUGGUUGAGCAUUUAUCUUGUGUGCCUGAUUCCUGGGUUCCGUUUCUCAGCAUGGAAACAUUGCGUUUAUAUAAGGAAAGAAGUGGAGAAAAAGAAGACCUUUUUUGGAUUCAGCAACAGAAGGAGCUCAACAAAGAAUAAGAUGACGGAGCCAGGAAUAAAACAGUGAAAAUUACAAACUGUAAAAAGGAAGACAAAUCUUGUCUCUAACAUUUUAGAGAAGCAAGAUGUAACACAGCACAUUGAAGAUCAAUACAUAUUUGAAUUGAGAAC